UAAACCCACAGUUUUUAAUGCACCUUUUUCUCAUGGUGAUUUCAGAGGGGAGGGGCAUGAAACAUGAGAGACACCACCAAUAAACUGGAAUUUAAAUGUGUGUACAGCAGAGUGCCAAGGGUUUUCUCCUUAUUGAUGACAAGCCUAUGGAAGAGGAGAUCUUGGAAUAUUGAAUUGUGUUACAUAUCACAGUCCAGUUAAUACAGUCCUGUUUUAAGCAAAGUCUUGUUUGAAUGUGUGGCCUUUCAUCACUUAUUACAGGAUCACUUUAAAUACAAUACAGCUAAGUGAAAUGAUGGAUGUUUGUUGUGUAUUAUAUGUAUAUUGACCAUAAGAUACAAAGAAUACUUAAAUAAGUGGAUUUAAUCCAUUUUAAGAUAGUUUAUGUACCUUGCCUUGAAUUUUAUUGCUUAAAACCUAAAAGGUAAUUUUAACUUGAACAUUCCUUCUGAAAUUCAAAUAAAGCAUAGUUUGGUAUGUUAAAAUCUCAUGUAACAGACUGCACUUUAAGCCUGGGGAGGCCAUGGAUUGAAAGCACUGUUCUUGCACUAACAGAACUGCCUGCCCUGACUGAGACAAUGUGUAAAUGGCUUUUCCUGUCUGGAGGGAGAAUAAGGAACCUGAAGGAUGGCAUCCAUCCUUUGAAACUAUAGAUAAAUCUAACACUAUGUGGUUUAGGCCACUGUUCUCUUCCUACAGAUGUUCUGAUAUUAACUCAUCUCAAAAGAUGGAAGGUGUCUUGGCCAAGAACCAGUUUGUGUGGAGUUUCAUGGCUUCACUAUGUCCAGUGUGGAAAACUCUCUUGAGUUAAUGUGUUAGGGCUGUCUCAGAUGAUUAUUACAGUACAGAAAAAUAACAUUCUUAGUAGGGGUAAGGGACCUUUAUACUCAACCAAGAGUUGCCUUCAUAUUUCUGUAUUUUUGUCUCUCAUCCUUCUUUAGGAAGAGGUUAUUUCUAAGCAAAAUGUCAGGGUUCUACUAAACAACUUGUGCUAUCUAAAAUGUCAUUGAUUAGUGUCCAGAUCCUUCCUGCACUACAUAGCAAAGUUUUACUUCUGCCAUUAGAAAAUAAAUAAGAAAACACUCAAUAUUAAGAGAAUUUCCUACAAGUUACAUUUGAGUGAAAAUGUACUAUGUGGUGUACUGCUAUGAAAAGAAAAUAUACUUUUAAAUGUGUGCACAGAGCUCUGCAUGUAGAUAAAAAGUGUUUUACCACAGUGUGAUGUUGGGAUGCUUUUGCAAAUGCUUAUUUACUUUCUGACCCUGCAGUGCAAAACGCAGUAGAGAUGGUGGUGUUACUUCUCCCUGUGGUUUUUAGCCAGUGCAAUCUCAGCUAUUGUGUCUUGAAUCAUCCUGCACAGGGGACAGUCCCAGCUGUAGACAUUUUUUAGCCUUUUGCUUUUUCAGUGUUGGGUUUGGUUUUGCUGUUGUUUGAUAUUUGGUGGUUUGCUGUUUGUUUGUGGUUUAUUUCUCUCUUUUUUUAAAGUUAUUAUUAGGACUGUAAAGACAGCACUUUCUUAAACUUUGCCAAAGUUUGCUUCCUUUCUCCUUCUCUCCACCUUUGCCCCUUAUAGGUAUACACAUUUAAUUUUUGGAAGAAGCAAGCCUGUAUGUACUCUCCUAAUACAUAAUCUUAUUGUCAGGUUGCUCCUUUUGUUUUUAUGGCCUGGUCAUGCACAUAUUUCUCUCCCUAUAAUUUCUCAGCAUAAACAUAUGCUGAUAUUUUGUUCCACCUCAGAAACAUUGUCCUGUAAUUAAUUAUGCACAACAAAUUGACAGAAACCAUGUAGAGAUGUAAGAGUCCAUAGUCUCAUUAGGGUGUAUGACAGGUGGUAUAACUGACAGAGCAAUAUGUAGUCAAUGUGACUCAUUUCUGCUUUUUUUUCUCUUCAAAACAGCUGCUUCAAUUAAAAUCCAAUAUUUCAUUUGAGUAUGUGGUACCUCUGACAGCUGAGAAUUGCAGCUAGAAUCUGGGGCUUACAAAAUACAUUAAGGUUAGAACUUAGUGUAACUUUUCAAAAAAUUGAAGAGUACAUUAAAGAGUACAUUAGUAUUUUAAAACCUUUUUUUCCCCCUAAGAGUGCACAGAGUGUGUUCUGCCACUUGUUUCUGUGAGGCACAGCCAGUACCUGGGAGUGGGGGAGAACCCUUUUUAGACUGCAGAGCCUCUAAUCCUCAAGGAAGAGCUGCACUUGCUAGAACUUUAAAAUAAACCAAAUGUUGCCUAUAAAAGUACUGAUAUUUAUGAUUAACUGUCAUACUUAAAUUACAAGGUCAUAGAUAUCAAUCUCCUGACAGCGUGAAAACAAGAAUAAUAAAUUCAGAAGUGCAAGAAUAAUGCUAUCCUUUACCAGCCUGUACUGCUAAGAGCAAAUUCUAUUGUACUUUGAAAUUAAUCCUCUUCUGCAUCCCAAAAUCUCCAUUAUAGUAGUAUUUUUGGAAGUAGUGAUACAAGAUUCAGACUAAGAUGGUUAUUUCAUUGUUAAUGGUGAAAUAAACAUAAAAGCUAAAACAUUUUAGAAAAUGACCAGAGGGACUUCCACAAAGAAAAUCUGCCUUGAAAAGGUCUAUUUUAUUUGUGUGAUCUCAAUAUAUGUAUAGUCUGUUUUGAAAUUCCUUCCUUCUUCAUGGAAGAUCGUUAUAAACCUGACAGCAAAAGUGGUCAAACCCCAAACUUGCAAAAGCAUCAGUGUUUCAUUUUCUGUUUGCAGUCAAUUUUAGCUAUUAUCAAACAAAAUAUCCAAAUGUAAUUUAAGCUUUUGUUCUUAAAAGUAGGGAAAUCAAAUAUUCAGUGCCUGAUUCAUCACUUGAAGUUGAGUGAAACCAUUUCUUGAAAAUGGGUUCUGCUAUCUGAUGGUGACUAAUUUUCAAUGCUGAUACUCAAUACUUCCUGUAAACUGUGAUUACAUCCCUGCAGAACAAUUUUAGUGUAUGGCCUUGGUCUUUGGCCCUAUUGUUUUUUUAAUUAUUAUUUUUUAUAGCAACGUGGGAGGUGGAGAAGGCUGGCACAAACCAUUUAUUUUUUUGUUCCAGAGAAAGAUGUUUACAACUUUGUAUGUAUUUUAAAAAUGUAUUGUGACACUUUUAACUUGGGAGAGAAGUUUCCAGAGCAGACUUGAAACCUGAACAGAGACUUUGGAAUAUCAGCAGUGCUCCCCAAGCUGCCGGAAGCUGUUGAGGACGAAGCUGCUCACUCACACCACAGGAGGGAGUUACACAUCAGUCUUUGGAGUAUUUUCAGUUAUGGCAUUGUUAGUACAUCUUAGUUCAGUGCAUUUCAGUUUGCCUUGUCUUACGGAUUGUCACUGCAGAUAGGUUAAUGUACAAAAUCAAUACACAGCAGUAAUGUAUUGUAACUGUUUACAUUUGAACUCAGAGUACCAAUGGAUGGGUUUUGUCAAGCUAUUUAAAAACAGAAAUAAAAAUCUUUUUUAAAAGACAA